AUAUACUGAUUCACGACCUAGGGAACUAGCGAGCUGAUUGAGACGCAGAGUUAGUUUGUAUUGGUUUGAAGCAUUGCUCAGCGGUUUGCAGGAGCAGCAAUGGCAUCGAGCGAUUUUUGCAGGUUGUACAAAAAACAUGAAAGAAGUACAAGGACAAAAGCGAUCUGGGGAAGGUGUGAAACGAGGGUGUGUUUGCUAAUACAGCAGACACAACAUGGCCUCCGGUCGCCUCCUCAGCGCUGACUGUGAUAAAUGAGUCUGGAAAAAUGUGCAGCUUCACGACAAACUCACUCACAGCUGCAACUUGAGGAGGACUUUUCAGACUUCCACAAAGGAUCGGAAACCGGCCCAUCACAUCCGAUCAUAACUCACGCCGGCUCUGGCACGAGCACACAGGCAGACUGCAGAACUAGACUCCUUGAGUAUCUUCAGGGUUGAUCAAUAUUUAAUGUGGCCUUUAACAAGAUCAGAUUUAGCAAAGAUAUUCUGCUCUCCCUCUUGCACGAACAUUGCUGCUCUGGCCUUGGGGUGGAGUAGGGGAGGAGAGGUGCCAAGAGCCCUUUGGGUUUUAUUAAUAUGAGUGCUUGACCUGUGUCUGCCCGACACACUACGCUGAGCUGGGAAUACAUUUUUCCUUUUUAAGUCUGACUCUGGCUUGAAUUCCAUGGAGCAACAGCAGGAGUAUUUGUUCAAAAAGAAGAACAUGUUUGACUUCGCUGAAUCUUAAUGGUAAUUUCUGUACCUGUGACAUUUUCUCAACCGUAAUGAGCCUGACUGUAAUUGAGUCUUCAAAUCAUCUGCAGCUUGAACCUUAAUCAUUUCAUGUCCCGCAGCACU